GCAGUCGAGCGGACAGAUGGGAGCUUGCUCCCUGAUGUUAGCGGCGGACGGGUGAGUAACACGUGGGUAACCUGCCUGUAAGACUGGGAUAACUCCGGGAAACCGGGGCUAAUACCGGAUGGUUGUCUGAACCGCAUGGUUCAGACAUAAAAGGUGGCUUCGGCUACCACUUACAGAUGGACCCGCGGCGCAUUAGCUAGUUGGUGAGGUAACGGCUCACCAAGGCGACGAUGCGUAGCCGACCUGAGAGGGUGAUCGGCCACACUGGGACUGAGACACGGCCCAGACUCCUACGGGAGGCAGCAGUAGGGAAUCUUCCGCAAUGGACGAAAGUCUGACGGAGCAACGCCGCGUGAGUGAUGAAGGUUUUCGGAUCGUAAAGCUCUGUUGUUAGGGAAGAACAAGUGCCGUUCAAAUAGGGCGGCACCUUGACGGUACCUAACCAGAAAGCCACGGCUAACUACGUGCCAGCAGCCGCGGUAAUACGUAGGUGGCAAGCGUUGUCCGGAAUUAUUGGGCGUAAAGGGCUCGCAGGCGGUUUCUUAAGUCUGAUGUGAAAGCCCCCGGCUCAACCGGGGAGGGUCAUUGGAAACUGGGGAACUUGAGUGCAGAAGAGGAGAGUGGAAUUCCA
rnacentral:rRNA from 1 species